GACGAACGCUGGCGGCGUGCUUAACACAUGCAAGUCGAACGGAAAGGCCCUGCUUUUGUGGGGUGCUCGAGUGGCGAACGGGUGAGUAACACGUGAGUAACCUGCCCUUGACUUUGGGAUAACUUCAGGAAACUGGGGCUAAUACCGGAUAGGAGCUCCUGCUGCAUGGUGGUGGUUGGAAAGUUUCGGCGGUUGGGGAUGUACUCGCGGCUUAUCAGCUUGUUGGUGGGGUAGUGGCUUACCAAGGAUUUGACGGGUAGCCGGCCUGAGAGGGUGACCGGCCACAUUGGGACGGAGAUACGGCCCAGACUCCUACGGGAGGCAGCAGUGGGGAAUAUUGCAAAAUGGGCGGAAGCCUGAUGCAGCAACGCGGCGUGCGGGAUGACGGCCUUCGGGUUGUAAACCGAUUUCGCCUGUGAAGAAGAGUGAGUGACGGUAAUGGGUAAAGAAGCACCGGCUAACUACGUG
rnacentral:rRNA from 1 species